rfam:Nomascus leucogenys chromosome 23, whole genome shotgun sequence.
ACCAUCGAAGACCUGCGGGACAAGAUUCGUGGUGUCACCAUUGAGAACUCCAGGAUUGUCUUGCAGAUUGACAAC